rnacentral:snoRNA from 2 species
AGCCUGAUGCCACGUCUCCAGUAGCUGUGGGCAUUGACUGGUGAUGCUAUGAUUAGGCCUAUACAGAGUGGUGUCCACAUUUCACAUGUUUAUAGGAACCUGUGGGCUGUAUCUCAAUCGGUCCACAGAGCCGGUAUCUGUGAUUACAGUU